GGGCCAAGGUUGGUUCUUGUCAUUGUGGGAGACACUGGUUCGGGAAAGACUACACAAUAUCUCCAUGAAGUUGGUUGAAAGGUACGACCUACUACUUGCCCCAACUACACAAUAUUUCUUUUGCAGGUUGCUGGGAUCACAGGUGUUUCAGCUCGCUAGGUCUCACAGCUUUAUGGAGUGGUGCCUCCUAUUCUAACUGAGCUGGGAAAGGUCCGGAACCUGUGGCCUAACGUCGAUUCUCAUAGCGGAGUGCUACUGAGUUAGCUUUUGUACCGAGACCUACUCUUCAGUUUUUUGACGUCUGGUUAUUAGGAGUUGCUCAAUAGCAUUUUUGUUUCUGAUUAUACUUAAGUUGAUCACAUGGCUCAUGUUGCAUUUGAGAUUGCUACGCAAAGGUGCGGUAAACUUUGUUCUGUGAUAUUCUGGAUGUUCACUAAACUUGAGCAUCCAGUGAGAUAUUUAUUGGAUCCAUAUGUUGAAUCGAACCAUGCAAAAUUGAUUAGGACCA